ACAGCACACUGUUAAAGCUUGGAGCUGAGGCUGUCCAGCCAGUGAACUCUCAAGUGUCGGAAGUGUGCUAAAAUAACAUGGCAGGUCUUUCGCUAACACCGUCAGAGCAUCACGCUCAAUGAUCGGGGUUUGAUAGUAGUCUCUGCCACAAUG
ensembl:snoRNA SNORA62 Small nucleolar RNA SNORA62/SNORA6 family